UACGAAGGGGGCUAGCGUUGCUCGGAAUCACUGGGCGUAAAGGGUGCGUAGGCGGAUCUUUAAGUCAGGGGUGAAGUCCUGGAGCUCAACUCCAGAACUGCCUUUGAUACUGAGGAUCUCGAGUUCGGGAGAGGUGAGUGGAACUGCGAGUGUAGAGGUGAAAUUCGUAGAUAUUCGCAAGAACACCAGUGGCGAAGGCGGCUCACUGGCCCGAUACUGACGCUGAGGCACGAAAGCGUGGGGAGCAAACAGG
rnacentral:rRNA from 1 species